AUGGCCUCGCCGGCGACGCCGAGGCCGGCGCUGAUCCGGCCGCGGGCCUCGCGCAGCCGCUCCCAGUUGGGCGCCGUCAGCCUCGCUUCCGACCACGCCGCCGCCACGGCCUCCUCGGGCCGCCGCCGCGACUUCGUCUUCGUCGUCAACCCCUCCGGCGCCAAUGGCCGGACGGGCAAGCAGUGGAAGCAGCUGCUCCCCUUCCUCCACACCCGCCUCGCCGACCAAUGCAACAUUUGCGAGUGCAUCACAUCGGGCCCGUCGCACGCCAUAGAUGUCACGAGGGAGGCUAUAAAGGACGGCGCUGAUGCUGUGAUCGCCGUUGGCGGGGAUGGGACGCUUCAUGAGGUGGUGAAUGGCUUCUUUUGGAAAGGAAGCCCGGUCCGUGCUCUUGAUCGAGGGCCUGACCACUUGACGGCGCUUGGUCUCAUCCCACUUGGAACUGGCUCAGACUUUGCUAGGACAUUUGGCUGGUCAAAUGAUCCCCGUCAGGCGAUUGAUCGAAUUGUGAGAGGAGUUAAAUCAAAACUAGACAUUGGCAUGAUGGAAGGUCCAAAUGGAGAUCCACAUUUCUUUAUAAAUGUUGCUGAUAUCCAUCUGAGUGCCAAGGCAGGUUAUUUUGCUUCUAUGUACAAGAGAUUUGGCAACUUAUGUUAUGUUCUGGGAGCUUUAAGAGGCUUUUGGGGACAUAGUAAUCGAGAUUUGAGAAUAAAGGUGAAUGGAGGGGAAUGGAGAACAGUUGAUAAAGUCACUGCUCUAUGCGUAGGAAAUGCCAAGUACUUUGGAGGUGGCAUGAAGAUUACUCCAACAGUUGAUCCUUUUAGCGGUGACCUUCAGGUUGUUAUUAUACAAGAUUUCAAGUGGUACAGUUUUCUUCUUAAGCUACAUAGGCUUUAUGGAGGCACACACUUAACGGUGAAUGGCGUGUCAUCAAUAAGAGUUCAAUCAAUUGAAGUGGUAGAGGUGGUGCCUAACGGCGACGUCUUUGUGCAAUCUGACGGGGAGCAUUUCGGUUUUCUUCCGACCAAAUUCUCAGUUCUGCCUGGUGCAGUAGAUUUCUUCAGCUAG
rnacentral:rRNA from 1 species